AGUGAAAGUAAAAAUGGGAUUGAAAGCGGAAGUGGGUGUGAAUGUGCGGAAAGUGAAAGUGAGAAAGUGAAAGUAAAAGUGGGAGCGGAAGCGGACAUGAAAGCGAGGGAAGUGGAAAUAGAAGGGAAUGAGGAAGUGAAGGCGAAUGAGAAAGUGAAAGUGAAAGUNUGGGCCAUACUGGGAGCAACUGGGAGCAACUGGGAGGGACUGGGAGGCACUGGGAGCCAUACUGGGCCAUACUGGGAUGGACUGGGCCAUACUGGGAUGGACUGGGCCAUACUGGGCCAUACUGGGAUGGACUGGGAUGGACUGGGAGCCAUACUGGGCCAUACUGGGAUGGACUGGGCCAUACUGGGAGCAACUGGGAGGCACUGGGAGCGGUGGCGCCAUAUUGAAAUCCGUGGCUCCCUAUUUGGCAGCCGUGGCUCACUGUUUGGCGGCGUUGGCUCCCUAUUUAUUUGCUGUAGGCUCCAUUUUUAG
rnacentral:lncRNA from 1 species